AAUUUAAUCUGGCAGCAGAGAUACCGUGAUCACGAAGGUGAGCCCAGGGCGAGGCUCACGUAUUGCACUGCUGGUGUGCUGACCCCUGCGGUUUCCCCAAAUGUGGGAAACUGGACUGCAUAAUUUGUGGCAGUGGGGGACUGUGUUUGCACUGUCCCCUG
ensembl:snRNA U1 U1 spliceosomal RNA